AUAUUGUGAACAUAAGGUGGUAUGCAAAGAGAUUCUUG
rnacentral:sRNA from 1 species